rnacentral:rRNA from 1 species
GACGAACGCUGGCGGCGUGCUUAACACAUGCAAGUCGAACGGGCCUUGUCCCCUUUUUUUUUGGGGGUGGGGUUAGUGGCGAACGGGUGAGUAACACGUGAGUAACCUGCCCCUCACUUCUGGAUAACCGCUUGAAAGGGUGGCUAAUACGGGGUGUUCUGGCCUGCUCGCAUGGGUGGGUUUGGAAAGCUUCGACCGGUUUUGGUUGUUUUGGUGGGGGAUGGGCUCGCGGCCUAUCAGCUUGUUGGUGGGGUGAUGGCCUGCCAAGGCUUUGACGGGUAGCCGGCCUGAGAGGGUGGGCGGUCACACUGGGACUGAGACACGGCCCAGACUCCUACGGGAGGCAGCAGUGGGGAAGAUUGCACAAGGGGCGCAAGCCUGAUGCAGCGACGACGCGUGAGGGAUGGAGGCCUUCGGGUUGUGAACCUCUUUCGCGAGGGAAGAAGGUCCUGCUCUUUGUGGUGGGGUUGACGGUAGCUGGGUUAAUGAAGCGCCGGCUAACUACGUG